GACGAACGCUGGCGGCGUGCCUAAUACAUGCAAGUAGAACGCUGAAGGAAGGAGCUUGCUCUUUCCGGAUGAGUUGCGAACGGGUGAGUAACGCGUAGGUAACCUGCCUGGUAGCGGGGGAUAACUAUUGGAAACGAUAGCUAAUACCGCAUAACAGUAGAUAUCGCAUGAUAGCUGCUUAAAAGGUGCAAUUGCACCACUACCAGAUGGACCUGCGUUGUAUUAGCUAGUUGGUGAGGUAACGGCUCACCAAGGCAACGAUACAUAGCCGACCUGAGAGGGUGAUCGGCCACACUGGGACUGAGACACGGCCCAGACUCCUACGGGAGGCAGCAGUAGGGAAUCUUCGGCAAUGGACGGAAGUCUGACCGAGCAACGCCGCGUGAGUGAAGAAGGUUUUCGGAUCGUAAAGCUCUGUUGUAAGAGAAGAACGAGUGUGAGAGUGGAAAGUUCACACUGUGACGGUAUCUUACCAGAAAGGGACGGCUAACUACGUGCCAGCAGCCGCGGUAAUACGUAGGUCCCGAGCGUUGUCCGGAUUUAUUGGGCGUAAAGCGAGCGCAGGCGGUUAGAUAAGUCUGAAGUUAAAGGCUGUGGCUUAACCAUAGUACGCUUUGGAAACUGUUUAACUUGAGUGCAAGAGGGGAGAGUGGAAUUCCAUGUGUAGCGGUGAAAUGCGUAGAUAUAUGGAGGAACACCGGUGGCGAAAGCGGCUCUCUGG
rnacentral:rRNA from 1 species